rnacentral:rRNA from 1 species
AACGAACGCUGGCGGCAUGCCUAACACAUGCAAGUCGAACGAUGCCUUCGGGCAUAGUGGCGCACGGGUGCGUAACGCGUGGGAAUCUGCCCUUGGCCUCGGAAUAACAGUUAGAAAUGACUGCUAAUGCCGGAUGAUGUCCCCCUGUGCGAUCUUGGGGACCAGAGAUUUAUCGGCCAGGGAUGAGCCCGCGUAGGAUUAGGUAGUUGGAGGGGUAAAGGCCUACCAAGCCGACGAUCCUUAGCUGGUCUGAGAGGAUGAUCAGCCACACUGGGACUGGGACACGGCCCAGACUCCUACGGGAGGCAGCAGUGGGGAAUAUUGGACAAUGGGGGGAAUCCUGAUCCAGCAAUGCCGCGUGAGUGAUGAAGGCCUUAGGGUUGUAAAGCUCUUUUACCAGGGAUGAUAAUGACAGUACCUGGAGAAUAAGCUCCGGCUAACUCCGUG